GCCCGCUUGGCUCAGUGGUAGAGCGUGUCACUAGUAAAAAGCCAAACCCACCUUGUCUUCAACACACAAGGACAAUGACAAGGUCAUCAGUUCGAUUCUGAUAGUGGGCA
rfam:Podospora anserina genomic DNA, chromosome 1.